GAGGAUAUAGCUCAGUGGUAGAGCAUGUACUUAGCAUGCAGAGGUUCUGGGUUCAGUCCCCAGUACCUCCA
rnacentral:tRNA from 1 species